rnacentral:sRNA from 1 species
CCAACUUUUGGUGCUAUGAUGAUAUCGGGACAAAAGGCGGGACAACUUGCUCUUAAGGCUUUGGGGCUACCGAAUGCUAUUGACGGAACUCUCGUUGGAAACCUAAGCCCGGAGCUGGUCUUAGCCGCAGCAGAUUCAGCUGAAACCGUAGAUGCUUAAAAUCAAAAGGUUUUAACGUUAAGAAAAGUUUCCCUUGAUCCUUCGGAUGUUGAAGGAGUGCAAUAAAAGGAGUUUAGGUGUUUAAUAUGUCUUGAACUUUUCUGGUGUCUUUGUUUCUCUCUUCUGAACUUCUGUGUAAAAUAUCGUAUCCGUUCAUUCGUAAUGCGUAUGUUCUCGUUCUUCUCCUUCUUUAUGGCUCUAGUACAAGCAGCUUUCUCGUUGUCGUUGGCAAUACAAAAUCUGUCUAAAUUUGAGGGAUGAGAUUAGUGUUGGAUGUCGGAUUCUUGUCUUCAAUUCUGAUUCUUAUCCUUGAAGAAAUUAUGUAUAGAUAGAGCUAUUCAAUGUCUAUAGUUUCUCUGCUGAUGAAAGAACGAAGAGUUUUAUGAUUUU